UACGGGGGGAGCAAGCGUUGUUCGGAUUUACUGGGCGUAAAGGGCGCGUAGGCGGUCAGCACAAGUCAGUUGUGAAAUCUCCGGGCUUAACUCGGAAAGGUCAACUGAUACUGUGCGACUAGAGUGCAGAAGGGGCAACUGGAAUUCUCGGUGUAGCGGUGGAAUGCGUAGAUAUCGAGAGGAACACCUGCGGCGAAGGCGGGUUGCUGGGCUGACACGUGACGCUGAGGCGCGAAAGCCAGGGGAGCAAACGGGG
rnacentral:rRNA from 1 species